rnacentral:rRNA from 1 species
UACGUAGGGAGCAAGCGUUGUCCGGAUUUAUUGGGCGUAAAGGGCUCGUAGGCGGUUCGGUAAGUCGGGUGUGAAAACUUCAGGCUCAACCUGGAGAUGCCACUCGAUACUGCUGUGACUUGAAUCUGGUAGGGGAGCACGGAAUUCCUGGUGUAGCGGUGAAAUGCACAGAUAUCAGGAGGAACACCGGUGGCGAAGGCGGUGCUCUGGGCCAGUAUUGACGCUGAUGAGCGAAAGCGUGGGGAGCGAACAGG